UACGAAGGGGGCUAGCGUUGCUCGGAAUUACUGGGCGUAAAGGGAGCGUAGGCGGAUAGUUUAGUCAGAGGUGAAAGCCCAGGGCUCAACCUUGGAAUUGCCUUUGAUACUGGCUAUCUUGAGUCCGGAAGAGGUGAGUGGAACUCCGAGUGUAGAGGUGAAAUUCGUAGAUAUUCGGAAGAACACCAGUGGCGAAGGCGGCUCACUGGUCCGGUACUGACGCUGAGGUGCGAAAGCGUGGGGAGCAA
rnacentral:rRNA from 1 species